AGUGAACGCUGGCGGCAGGCCUAAUACAUGCAAGUCGAGCGGACGCACAGUAAGCUUUCGCCUCUACCGGUGGCGACUGACGGAUGGGUAACACAUAGAUAACCUUCCUAUUAUACGUGGAGAAUUUCGUGAGGCCACAUCUACUACUACAUAAUAUGUUCAACGGCAUAAAUCAAUAGUUAAUCGCACUUUGUCUGUCACAUUUAGCUGAUGCCGCGUCACAUUAGCUAGUUGGUAAGGUAACGGCUUACCAAGGCAACGAUGCGUAGCUGAUCUGAGAGGGUGAUCAGCCACACUGGAACUGAGACACGGUCCAGACUCCUACGGGAGGCAGCAGUAGGGAAUAUUGGGCAAUGGGCGCAAGCCUGACGGAGCAAUGCCGCGUGAGUGAAGAAGGUCUUCGGGUUGUAAAACUCUGUUAUUAGGGAAGAAAAAAUGUGGAAGAAAACACGGAUGUUCUGACGGUACCCAAUGAGAAAGCACCGGCUAACUACGUG
rnacentral:rRNA from 1 species